rnacentral:lncRNA from 1 species
GGCUGCAGCGGCAGGGGUGCUGAUGGCCUCGGCUUCUCUGACGUCUUUCUGAGGCAAAACGAACCGUCUGCUGCGUGAGCCUGGUAGCACAUGGCCUUUGGGGACACGAAGGGGCCCGGUCCCAAAGGCUGCUGAGCGUUGUUAAUCUGUUCAUUGCCCGCUGCAGAGCUCUGGGAGGGGUCCAAGAACAGCCAGGGCCUCUUCCCCCCAGCAUGUGGGGACCCUGAGCCCCCGGUGCCGCUGCCAGCCCAGCCCUGCGAAAGCUGGGGCGCGGCGACGAUCCCGGCUUUGCUCCCCACCGCUUCGUGGGGAGGGAAGCCCGCGGCUGGGCUGCUCGGGCGUUACACGGGGGUGGUUUAGCUGCCAGUCGUCAUUUUACAACGCGCGUGGAGCCGCCUGGCAUUGUUUGCUGGCUUCCUUGCGGGUAAUGCCGCAGCCGCACGGGGAAUAACGGAGAGGUGCGCUGGGGCCGGGGCAGGCCCUGCCGGCGGUGCCGUGAGUUCCUUACCCUGCAUAGGGCACGAAACAGGAUGCCAAAAGAGCGAGAGGGGAGGAGAUGUGUGUUUGGGUCUGUGCUGCCACUCCAGGAUACAGAUGCGUGCUUCCUGCAGGAAGAAAUUGGCUUCUGAGCUUCAGUUUACACCAGUGAGAUCCCUGCUGCCGAGACGAGAGUCGGACGGGAUUGCUGCGGGGAGGCAGGAUUGGAUUGCCACGGUUAAUCCACUUUAAGGAGAUACUGUCAACGUGAAAUACAACUUCAGUUAUCUUCUGCAAAGCGAUUUUGGCAUUGGGGUCUCACUUACAGUCUCGCUCUGCUUGCGUCCCGUUAGUGGGAAGGCUGCGGAAGCACAGGGGGUGCCCGUGAUGGCACCCAGGGGAGGUCUGGGUCCGUCUCCACGCACAGUGGGGUGAGCGCGGCAGGUCUGUGAGCAGCAGCAGCUUCCUCCCAGCGCGCCUGGAGGUUGGAAGCGCAGGUCCCUGUGUGGUUGGAUCAAAGAUAACGUGCUUUUCUCUUAAUUACCUUCCCUGGAUUCUUCUGAAGUCGCAGGCAGCCAUACCUCCGGGCCACAGCUAUGAGGCUGUGGCUGGCAGGCAGGGAAUCUGGAUCGCCGGUGUGGCGGGGUUAGCACAGCUUUGAACCUUGGAAGAACAAAUGAAGAAACCCAGACAGAGAAAUUACUCAUGACCCUGUUGUUUUUGGCUCUCGGAACACUUGCUUUUGUUUAAGAAGGACUCCCUUGUGCAGCCAAACCAAUUUUAUCGUGUCUUUGUCUUCCUGCAGGUUGGUGAUGAUAAUGUCUCACCUGCCUCCUCCCUGGGUCUCGGCCCUGCCUCUGCCACGUGGCCGCUAGCAGCCCGCGGCUCGGGAAAGGCAGCCUGUCCCUCGCGUGUCCCUGGUGCAGUGCCUCGGGCCAGGCCGCUGCUUGUUAUUGGGGAGGGAAGGUAACCAAAGCAAAGGGGGUUUGCUUUGUGCAGCCCUUGUAGCAGGCUGUUAGUUCUUAUUUGCGUGCAUAGCGCUGCUUUCAUGUGAAGGUUUUCCAUCUGGGGCUCGUUUUAUUUAAUUACAAAAUCGCGUGCAGACCCGCUGCGGAGCGGGGACGCAGAGGACGGGCGUGCAGAAGCCGGGCUCUUGUCACCCACGGCUGCCAGCCCGCUCCCCUCCGUGCAGCCCUGGCUGUGCUCCACCACCCGCUCUGCGUCCCCCGGGCUGAGUUUUGCCCGCCGCUGG